ACCACUGCAGUGAUCUCUAAAAUAGUCUGUGAGUUGAAGGCGUUGUGAGUAUUAUUUUCGAAGAAUAUUUUCCGGCAGAAGGAUCUGUGUUCGUUACUUUUUUCCUCAAGAUUGUAGAUAGUGCACUUAACUGUAAUAGUAUCUCAGAAAUAGAUGUCUGCCUAUUGUGAUUUCUAAGAGAUGAAAAUCGGAACACAAAAUUGUUGGAGAGAAAUUAGGAAACGUAACAUACAUUCACUGGUGUGGCAAUCACUGAAAUAUUUAACAAUGGCUCUUGUUAAAAGAAGAAGGACACUUGCAGCAAAACUGGAGAUACUAUGAGAAAUUUGCAUUUACAAAACGAGAUACUGAAAUAGCAGGCAAUGAAUGUCUCGACUGUCAUUAAGAAAAUUUGUAAAUCAAAUCAGUGUCUGCUGAAUUCACUCUUUAUUAUUCAUCAUAACUACCGUUAUGGAGUAAAUGUUUUGGGAUAACCACAUCACAACUCCAGUACCACCUCAGAAUGACUGCAGGAUUGCGCAACCAAAGUUCUCUACCACCACCCUAUAUUUUGUGGGAUGGUUACUAAAGACAGCCACAGCCAAUACCCAAGAUCAUUACUUUAUAUUUUACCAUCUGUGCCAAAUUAAUGUGUCUGAUAAUAUAUUAACAUUAUGACAAUGUCUAUAGUACAGGGUUGCCACUGUAUCUGGAUAUUGGGGAAUUUCAAA